GUCACUACUGCAGACUCCUCAGACUUCAGUAGUUAGUCUGCCAACUGCUGUAGCUAUCUUUGGUGUUUAGUGCCAAGGAGGAAAAAGAGAAUUUCAAGUCCACUGAAACGCCCUUCAUUCCAGGCUCUGCUGAAAAGAAUGCUGAGGAAGAUUAUCAACUGUGGUUUUCUUCUAGGCAGGAAGAAGUGCCAUGCCCACUCCUGAGUGCAGCCUUCCUCUCAUAUACUGAAGACAGGACCUCCUAGAAAAGGUGUGGGUUCUCUGGCUUUUACAAGCUUUCUUCUUACUCUCCCAGAAAGGUUCUAUAUGGCUGUGAUAAAAACACCAUGACCAAAUGUACUUGGAGAAGAAUGGAGAAGAAGAGUGCACUUCUGAGAAAGUCAGAGCAAGAACUCAAACAUGCUGGGGACCUGGAGGCAGGAGCUGAUGCAGAAGCCAUGCAGAAUUGUUGUUUACUUGUCUUGGUCUACAUUACUUUGCUCCAUCUUCUUUCUUAUAGUGUCAAGGACCAUCAGUGUAGAAGAGGUACCAUCGACAUUGGAUGGGGCCUCCCACGUUAAUUACUGUAGGGCACAGAGGAUUCCCUGAAUUAGUGAAUUAGAGGAUUCUGGGAUGAAUGUGUUUUAUGACAAAGCCAUGACCAUGUUGAAGAUUUCAAAGACUUGGACACAUGGGAUAAUCAGCAAAUCUGUCUCCUUACAUGGACCAGGCUCCAGAGAAAUAGCACAGCUUUCGUUGGGAGUCUUUGUCUGAGUGUUUAUUGACCAGGGUAUGCAAGACAAUCAGCUGCAGCUUCCUCCUCCUGGGUGUUUACAGCUUGAAAGUGGUCAUCUUCAGAGACCUCCUGGGAGAUGAGCUAACCCCUACACUUGUGGUGUACCUAAUAAAUAUGCUGAGGGUCUGAGUUGUGGAGGGUUAGAAAAUUCCCUAGCUAUACUGUAUGUAUAUCUCUGGGUUAGUAUUUUCUUCAUUCCCUCACAACUCCUAGAGAAAUUCCCAGGACCCAAGCCAUGCAGGUCAAAGAUAAUCACUAUUUAGAAAUUGAACCACAGAUUUACCUUCAGAUCAGACAAUAAUAAGGCAUUUUUUCAAUUGAGAAUUUUUCUUCCCAAAUGAUUCUGGGUUCUAUUAGGCUGACAUAACACCAAAGAGCACAGGCUCCUUUCUCAAUGCAAAUACACUUGAGUUCUUAUGUUUUCAUUAAAUGUUAUCCUGGUGCCCUUGUAGAUGUUUCUGUAUCAUCUGUAGAUGUUUCUGAGCUUCCUGGACCCCAAUCAUUUCUGUAGGAAAAACCCUACAUCGGUGCUGUAGUUUUUGUCCCAAAUGCAUAGCAUCUGUUCUACAAGGAAGAGAAAAGCAAGAGCUUCCCAGUUUCAUCAGUGAUUAAUGAGAAACGAGGAAAGGAGACUUCCUGUAAAAAAGGAAAGCCAUUUUGACAGUACAGGAUCUUUGAAAAUUCUUUGUAUAGGAAGUGACUAAAAGCACGAAACAAUAAACCAAGUAUUAUGCAUGUAAAUGGAGACAAGAGAGUGCAUGGUCUUCUGUCUUGUUAAUGUGGCUUUGCAGGGGCUUCUGUGUUUCUAGUAUCCUGUGACUUUUCCCUGAUAGUUGUCUUGUGGAAAACAGUGGAAGAAAAGCGUAAAGAAAACCACUCCACUCCACUUGAGAAGCCUGGCUUCAGAACUUACAAUGGGAAAUGAGCUAUCUCUGUAAGUCUGUCAGAAAUCUUGUUGGAGAAAAUACUGAUCACAGCCAUUUUAACGUAUGUUGUUAAAUUAUUGAAAUGAUAAUAGUCAACAAGAAAUUAAUAUAUUUUCUUUGUUCAUAACUCUUUGACAUAUGGAAGGCACAUGGCUGAAAUCAUUAGUCUAGAACUAUAAGGCUCUUGCACAUCUCUACAUGAUUUGUAACUAGGCAACAUGUUCAAAUUUUAUCCUCUGAAAUUUAAAGCCUGUACUUAGAUACCUGCUUUACUAAAGAUUCCUCUCUGAGGACUCCAGGAGCCAGAUGAAACAUGCAACUCAUUUUAAUGUGUUCUUAUGCUCACUGAAAGGUCUAUUUGAUCACUCAUCACUCUUAUCAUUAAUCUAUAUUUAGUAUUUUUUCUACAUAGGAAAUGAGAACUGAUAUACCAUCAGAAUGAGUGACUUUCAAAAUUCUACCUUCCUGUCAGUGAGACCAAGUGACUACAUAAAUUAUCUUGAUAUCAACAAGGCCAUCCAGGAGCUGCCUGUAGAUGGAAAUAUCUCUGGUCCUCCCCGGCCCUGCGGUUAGGAUGAAUAUCUCCCACCCGCGGUCCCUCAGCUACUUAUAAAAUAAUCACUCAGAGGCUUAUAUUAGUUGCAAACUGCAUGGCUUCAGUGUGGUUCAGGCUUCUGGCUAGCUAGCUCUUUCAUCUUAAAUUAACCCAUUCCUAUUAAUCUAUAUGUUGCCACGUGGCGGUGGCAUUACCAGUCUGCUGGCAUCUUGUUGCUCCUUUGGCAGCAGGCUGGCAUUUCAACUCCACCCUCCCUUUCUCUGUAUCUCUGCUUGGAUUUCUUGCCUGGCUGUAAGUUUUCUUGCCACAGGCCAAGUCACCUUUAUUUAUUAGCCAAUGGGAGCAACACAUAUUCACAGCAUACACAAAGAUAUCCCACAGCAGCUCCCCUCCCCACAUGUGCUAGGACUAUUAAACCUGAAGCCAAAGAAUUCACCCAAAGACCAGAGCUGUGAAUCUCUUAACUUCCUUCAAGGUUUUAAAUGUACAGGUUUUAAAUCCUUCUGUCCCCAUUUGCACCAAUAAUUCUAGUGUAACCUCACUGAUA